UGGGGAAUAUUGGGCAAUGGGCGAAAGCCUGACCCAGCCAUGCCGCGUGAGUGAUGAAGGCCUUAGGGUUGUAAAACUCUUUCGCUGGGGAAGAUAAUGACGGUACCCAGUAAAGAAGCCCUGGCUAAUUUCGUGCCAGCAGCCGCGGUAAUACGAAAGGGGCUAGCGUUGUUCGGAAUUACUGGGCGUAAAGCGCGCGUAGGCGGCAUGCCAAGUUGGGGGUGAAAUCCCGGGGCUCAACCCCGGAACUGCCUCCAAAACUGGCAAGCUAGAGGAUGUGAGAGGAUAGUGGAAUUCCGAGUGUAGAGGUGAAAUUCGUAGAUAUUCGGAAGAACACCAGUGGCGAAGGCGACUCACUGGACAGUUAUUGACGCUGAGGUGCGAAAGCGUGGGGAGCAAACAGGAUUAGAUACCCCUGUAGUCC
rnacentral:rRNA from 1 species